rnacentral:misc_RNA from 1 species
ACCUCGUUGUUUGAGUGGAUU